rnacentral:lncRNA from 1 species
AGGUGAAACGAGGGCCUUCUUCGGGGUUCUGAGAACUUCCUAGUGUGCUUCCACUGUUUGGGACAAAAGAAGUGUGCCGAGUUGUUGGGGUAUUUCCGCUUCACCUUUCAUGAAGGUAAGUCAGAGAGAUGCGUGGGGGAGCCCCAGGGCAGACCCCAAAUAUCCAACAGGAGGCUGACCAAUAUUUAAAAACCUGACUUUCAAUUAAUUAAAUCCUGAAGAACAGGUACCACGAGGUGAGGCGGCCUUGGUGGGCCGCAGGGUGGUGGCCGGCCUCCUGGCCUCCCCCGCCGCCGCCGCCGCCGCCGCCGUGACUCAGGGACGACGAGGCAGGGUGCGAGUACACGCUCAUGGGGGCCGGCAUGGCGGUGUAGCCGCCCCCGGCCGCCGCGGCCGCCGCGCGGUAGUAGCUCUGCUCGCCGCCGAGGUAGGGCACCACUCCCAGGGAGUUGGGGCUGGACACGGAGUAGCGCGCCUGCAUGGCCCCCGCUCGCCGCCGCCCCGCGCCGCCCGCCGCCCCCCACCCUCGCUCGGGCCGGGCCGCGCCGCGCCGGCCGCCGAGUCCGAGUCCGGGCCCGGCCGAGCUGGUGCCGGCCCGCUGCGCUGUGCGUCCGGCUGCGCUGCCGCCUCUCCCGGCGCUCGCUGGGGCUGGCUCCUCCGGCGCCUCGGGCUACCUCGGGGCCCGCGCGGCCGCGAGGCGGGGUCGCUGCGAGGGGAGAAGGCCGGGCCCGGCCGCGGCAGACCGCCUUGCAGGAACUCGCGGCGCAGCUUCCAGGCGCAAACGGGGGAAAGCAGACAAAAAGAAAGAACAAGCAGGCGCCCUCUUUGGAGGAGGGAGGGUUGCCCCGAGGUUGCUCUGAAUCCCGGGGCAGCUGCCUCCUGGCCUGCUGUGCGCCGGGGUCUCUGGAGACUCCUUUUCCAGGUGGUUUGCGGGCCAAGUCACUGGUGGGUUGGAGAAGCACCAACAGGAGGCUCAGCACUUGCUGGUUGCCAAGGACACUAGACAGGGGCGAGGGUGGUGGUGAAGCCCCAGGACCUGAACACUUAAUUCCUGUUCAGCCCCCAGCCCGGCACCCUGAAGGUCUUAUCAGCCCGCCUGGUCGAGGCUUUAAGGAGUGCUGUGGCUUCAGCCUGGAGGAGAUUUAAGUGGUCUCCCUGAACACCUCAGCAAGUGGUGAGUUCGGUCUUGAAGCUGCCUUUUACACUGCUAGCGGUGCGCGGAGAUGAACGCAGCGAUUACGGAUGCUUUGUUUUCCGAAUGCGGGAAACGCCUUCGGCCCCGAGUUUUGCAACAGGCAAUGGUGCCCCGCUGCCCCCUCCCCCACCAGCCUGUCGCCUCCUGCUCUUCCCUGCCUCCUCCCUCCAUCGGCCCAGUGAAGUGUAAACAGCUUGUUAUGUAAAUUGCAAAUCGACCUGCAGCGGUGUUCUCAGCUCUCCGUUUUGGGUAUAAAAGUCGCCGUUGUGAAAUUAGUGUCUGGCGUGCGAGAAAAAAUGGAGGGACGUAGUUUUAUCAAGAUCAACUUUCCACUGGUUUAGCUCUGGAUAUUCGCCAGGAAAAGAUAUUUGCAUUUGUGUUUUAUAAACUUACUCGGAAGCAAGCCUCCAGUAAGCGGCUUGAUUGUAUUUCAAGCACUUUUCUUAUUUCAUUUUUGUUGUUAGUGGUGUUAUUUGAACAUUAAGACGCAGGCAUGAAGUCUUUUGGGGAACAGGUUAAAGCUUUUAUUUUCAGGUUACAGUUUUUGAUGCCCCUUUCUGCUACUCCACGGGGUACUUCAAUCAUCCGCUUCCGCACAUCUCUUGACUCAUUUGGCAGAAGAGCCCCCACGGGAACCCUUCGGCUUCUUUUCUGACACCUCACGUACUUGCAGCCUGAAGGCCCCGCAGGCGACAGCGGUAAUGGAUGUUUGGUGGAACCCUCCCUGGGCCCACACUCCGCCCCUCCCCAGCAGGCCGGGCAACAAUUCCCAGGGCCCACCGAGGGGUGCUUAGCUCGGAGGAGGGGGAGUGACGUCACAGCGAUGUUCAAAACAAGGCCUCCCCUGGCCCCACCAUAGAAAAGCACCAGGAAGGGGAAUGUGGCGAGCACUCCAGGAAAUGCUCGGAUUGGGGACCAGGUGACACUGUAGGAAUGUGUGUGCUGGGGGAUGGGAUGGUGUCCUAAAUAUGGGUCACCAGGAGCCAGAAGGAGCUCUCUUUUUUCUUUUUCUUUUUCAAGUAAAGCAGAGGAGGUGGAGAUUGGGAUGGGGGCAGUCCGGAAAAAUCACUCCCUAGGGGUGUGAGCUUAGCUCGUGUUGUGCGGAUUGUCCCCGUCACAGCCCAAUCACCUCUGUGGUGUGCCUAGACGCCCUCUCCCUUACCUCCCCGCUUUCUGGCUUCUCCAUCCUCUGGGCUCUGGGUUCAGCCCUGAAAGCCGAACUGUGGGCUGCAGUGGGGAGGCGAGGGCAGGUAGAAACCAGCUUCAGGGGGGGCUCCACCUGGCCCAGGAGCUGGGGGACAACAGAAAAGGCAGGCUUAGGGCAUGAGGGAAGGCGCUUCUCCUGCUGCACUGGGGCAGUGAUUCCUGGGGGCUCUGCACACACAGGAGGGAGGCUGCAAGUCCACAGCUGCUUUAGCAUCUUUCCCUUUGCUGGGGCAGACAGAGUGGAAGAUUAAGGCAAUUAACCCCAGAGGGCCACUAGAAAACUGUCCACUAGGCUGCCAUCACAGACCACUGGAGCAAGGUCCGCUUGGGGAUGUCUUUGAGCUUUUUAGAUUACUUAGAUAAUUGUCUUAGUUCUCCAUUCGGCCUCCUUUGCUUAGACCAGAAUCCCAGGGGUAGGGGAGGAUAUCCUUGCAUCAAUGCCCGGCAUUCGUUUUCAAACCACCAGGCCGGCAGGCAACGUUAGUCAUCGGUGCGACUUUUCAGCGGAGGAAGGAGUGGGGACCGAACAUCUGGGUGGCCGCGACCUUGGGCAGAUACUCCUUAGCUGGGGGAUUUUCAAGUAGAGGAUUUGUCAGCACAGUCCCUCCAAUUCAGCCCCGUCCUUAGUAGAAAAAUUUCUACAAUAAACGAAAAGAGCGUUUGGUUUUCGAUUGUUUUAAAGACAAAGUGAUCCAUAUUGCCUGUCUACAUGGUUGGAUUAAUCCGAUAGUUGCCCUCCUGGGGGCAGACCUCCACGGGAAGUUUGUGUGAUGGGAUAAUUUAAUGUCAUCUAAGUCCCCUGGAGGGGCGGUUCCCCUAACUACUCACCCAGGAGAAAGCCAGCCAACACCUACCUGAUCGUUCCCGCCUCGGGAUGGCCCACCUAUCGCCCCUUGGCAGGAAAGCCCCCGCCUCGAAGGGCGUUUCGGGGGCUCAGAGCCGAGCUAAGCUGCAAGAGGGGGCCAUGGGGAAUGCGGGAAGUGAAUCUUUAACUUUGGUGCCCGGCUUCAAAAGACUCAGGGCUUCUUGUGUUCAGGCAGAGGUAAAUGGAGAUUCAAACUGUCGUCUUGCAUUAACAAUCCGGAAUAAAAAUAAAAUUCGUAAAGGGAUAGAUGAUCGGAAAGAACAAAUGGUGCAUGUGUGCGCGAACGAGCCCCAGUUUCUCUCCAUCCAGGUCCCCAGCGGACUCAGAGCGGCCGCCGCACUCCACGGCCUGGGAGGACAGAGGCCCCGCAGCCUCCCAACCUCGGCUCAUGUGGGGGGCGCGCCGCGCAGGGUGGGCGAGUCCCCAGGCCCCAGAGUCUGCCGGAGCCAGGGUGCGCGGUGCGGCGGGAGCCGGCCGUCGGAGGACUGCAGGGCGAAAGCGCCUUCCUGGGGCUGGAGCAGAAGGCGUGUGCCCCUGCACGGACGCGCCUUGGCUGUGGGUGUGGGAAGAAAGGCUUUGCCCCGUGAGACAGACCCACAGACAGCCCCGGAGCCGCCGGCGGGGUGAGGUGGGCUGCAACCUUGCAGGUGGCUGGCUGUUCCCAGGUCUCCGGCCCGGCGCCGCAGCGGACCCAGGCGCCGGGGCCGCAGCCAGCCUUCCUUCCGAGUGCUCCCUUCGCGGAACCCUGCGCCCUGGGACCUUCCUUCCGACGUCCCUCACCCCGGCCGGGGAGUGGCACCAACGCGGACGCACCGCCGGGCCUCCUGCGGGUAAGGCGCGGUCGGCCCCCAGCUCUGAGCCUUCUGGGCAGGAGCCCCGGGGGCCUGGGCCGGGGCCGGUGUUUGCACCUCUCAGGACAGGGACAAGGCCGACACCCGGCUCGGUGCAGCCGGCCUCCCCCGAGGACCUGAGGGCCGACGCCUCCGGGAACCGCUGGUCCUCGCGAGUGGGUCGGCGCCUGGCAGCGCGCGCCGGUGACCUGGUGGUCCGUCUGCUCCCAGGCCGCCCCUCACAGGCUUCCCGCCGCUUCCCCGCGAGCGUCAGCAGAAAAAGGGACGAUGUGGAAGCCCGGAGGCCCCUUGGCCGACCCAGGCUGGGGCUCUCAGGCUGGGGGCACCUCACCCCGGCAGGUCCCGCGCCUCGGGAACCCGGGGCCAGGCAGCCGUCCUGGGCGCCCGCACCGCGCACUGCGCGUGCUACGAGCGCCCCCUGCCGUCGGAGGCGUUGUCUCCGCGGCGCCUCUGCCCGCGCCGGGCUCCAAGGGCCGGCUCCGCCUGUCCCCGCACAGCGUCCCCUGGGAACCGGGUCUCCAGAGAAGGAGGCCUGGGGAAGACCGCGCCGCCCGCGUGGGACCCCGCAGGGCCUGGCACCUGGUUUUCUAGGCUGCAACUCUCAUCCCUCAGGGUCCGGGCGGGAACAGCCCCAUCGGGGAGACCCUCUCAGACUUCCAGGCACAGACCACGGACGCUUUUGUUCCUGGAGUGGAGGGAGGUGACCCGAGACUGGGGCUUUCAGCCACCGCUACGCAUUCCUUCCAGGCGGCCCUUUUAAUUGACGUACACGUUACAGAAAAAGCAAGGCCGCUCCAUCCAGUGAAUUACAUUGUGGGAGAUGCCAAGGAAUGUAUUUACUGGCAGCCAGGUUUGCCAAUAAAAGUUGCAAAUAAAGACUGCUGGUUUCCAGGAAAAUGUACUUCUGUUUUUUAAACACUCCUUAGUCUUAAUUACCAAAAACUGAGCCUCCAAAGAACCGGUUUCGAGAACAGGACCAGUGAGUGGCGGUGCUGGCGAGGCCUCACACCCCCACGUGCAAUCACACACCCCGAUGUCGCCUAUGGGAACAAGGACCAUGCACACCUAUGGCUUUGCCCACAGAGAGGCUCGCCCGUAUUUACAUACGCAGCAGACACAGACACAGGCGAAACGUUGGCACACAGAGAGGUAUGCGCUCGGAUUAGGGCUGUUUAGUUUGGAAGUGAAGAAAUAAGAAAAGACAAACUAUGGCAAACAGGCGAAUUUCCACAGAAAUAAAUGUCUGCGAGGAAAGGAGGCACUUGCUCUGUAGUGUUUAGUUAUGGUCGCCCUGGUAGUUCUUUUUAGUCCGACCGGGUUGACUAUAAAUGAAGGCAGCAGAGAAAUGCAGAAUUUACAUUUACUAAAGGUCCGCUUUGGCUUGGGGUCACAAGGACCCCAGUGGGAAUUAGAAAAUCUCCCCACUCACUAGAUGGAGCAGCACCUCCCCCCACAAAAAAAGGGGUUUGGGGCAGAGUGUGCACGCUAAUGAGAGGCAAAUUUAUUCCAUGUUUCUCCAAUCUUAAACACGGACACUCAUAACCACAAUUAUAAAGACUGGUAGGAUGCACAGAACACUUAGUAUGCGGUCAUCCUGCUGUGUGCUUUAAACACUCCUUUCACCUAAUCCUCACAAGGACGCUGACAUGGAUAUUAUGAUCUACAUCUUACACAUGAGGAAACUGAGCUUAAAGAAAAGAGAGAGCUUUCCCAAGAUUACACAGCCCUCGCAGUUGCACUCUGCACAGGCUCACUGGAUCUAAGACGCCACUUAUGAUAAGGUACAGUGCUUAUGAGCCACUAAGAGGGGAAAAAACUAAAUUAUUAAAUAUCAUCAGUGGUAAAUCUCAUCUCCGUUUCAGUUGCUAAAAUGAAAAAAAAAAUGUGCAUUUCAGAUCGAUGAUACGU